ACAACAGUCUUUAUUCUUCUAGCCACAAAUUCUGGUCCUAUUUACCCAAUCUCCCCAACCACAUGGAUGUCUGUGGGGACAAGGGGAGCAAAAAAGGAUGGUUGGAUUUGAUCAGCUCACACUGUUUUCAGGUCUUUCAGACCUAGCCUACCUGCAGACCAUCCUGGAAAGCUGAGUUUAAGGUCGUAUGAGACUUCAGGUUGCUGGCCCAAAUGGAAGUCAGGCAAAAUAUCAGCUGAGAUUUGGAAUAUAAGUGGACAUUGAAGAUUUUAGAAAAGCAGAAAAGAUAUGAAAUAGGCAUCUAAAAGGAUAAGAUAAUGAAUUGACUAGGCAAAUGGAUCUCCGUGUGUGGUCUUCAGACCAGCAGCACUUGGAAAUUUAGGAAGGACAAUGUGGAGCCCCAUUCUAGUCCUAUCCAAAGUACAUGUAUGAA